rnacentral:rRNA from 1 species
UAACACAUGCAAGUCGAGCGGAAAGGCCACUUCGGUGGUACUCGAGCGGCGAACGGGUGAGUAACACGUGAGUAAUCUGCCCUUGGCUUCGGGAUAGCCACCGGAAACGGUGAUUAAUACCGAAUAUGACCUCUGCACGCAUGUGUGGUGGUGGAAAGUUUUUUCGGCCAGGGAUGUGCUCGCGGCCUAUCAGCUUGAUGGUGAGGUAAUGGCUCACCAUGGCUUCGACGGGUAGCCGGCCUGAGAGGGUGACCGGUCACACUGGGACUGAGACACGGCCCAGACUCCUACGGGAGGCAGCAGUGGGGAAUAUUGGACAAUGGGCGGAAGCCUGAUCCAGCAACGCCGCGUGAGGGAUGACGGCCUUCGGGUUGUAAACCUCUUUCAGCAGGGACGAAGCGCAAGUGACGGUACCUGCAGAAGAAGCACCGGCCAACUACGUGCCAGCAGCCGCGGUAAUACGUAGGGUGCGAGCGUUGUCCGGAAUUAUUGGGCGUAAAGGGCUCGUAGGCGGUUUGUCGCGUCGGGAGUGAAAACGCCGUGCUUAACACGGCGCUUGCUUUCGAUACGGGCAGACUAGAGGUAUUCAGGGGAGAACGGAAUUCCUGGUGUAGCGGUGAAAUGCGCAGAUAUCAGGAGGAACACCGGUGGCGAAGGCGGUUCUCUGGGAAUGACCUGACGCUGAGGAGCGAAAGUGUGGGGAGCGAACAGG